CCCCUCUCAGGAUCACCUCUGGAGAGUUUUCAGUAUUCUACCAGUGACGGCUAUGGGAAGGAGAGUCAAGCAGAAGCAAACCCAUUCCAUUCCUAGCUCGGGCAGCGGCUAGGGAAUGGAAGGCAAACUGCUAUAAGU